rnacentral:rRNA from 1 species
AGCGAACGCUGGCGGCAGGCUUAACACAUGCAAGUCGAACGGGCAUCCUCGGAUGUCAUUGGCUGACGGGUGGGUAACACGUGGGAACGUACCCUUCGGUUCGGAAUAACUCUUUGGAACUUGAUCUAAUACCUGAUACGCCCUUCUGGGGGAAGGUUUACUGCCGUAGGAUCGGCGCGCGUCUGAUUAGCUUGUGGGUUGGGUAACCGCCUACCAAGGAGAGGAUUAGGAGCUGGUCUGAGAGGAUGAUCAACGACACUGGGACUGAGACACGGACCCGAAUCGUACGGGAGGCAGGAGAGGGGAAUAUUGGAGAAUGGGGGCAAGGCUGAUCCAGCCAUGCCGGGUAAGAGAUGAAGGCGGUAGGGUUGUAAAGCUGUUUUGGCCGGGGCGAUAAUGACGGUACCGGAAGAAUAAGCCCCGGCUAACUUCGUG